UACGUGGGGGGCAAGCGUUGUCCGGAUUUAUUGGGCGUAAAGAGCGUGUAGGCGGCCUGACAAGUCUGCUGUGAAAACUCGAGGCUUAACCUCGAGCUGUCGGCGGAAACCAUCUGGCUAGAGUCCGGAAGAGGAGAAUGGAAUUCCCGGUGUAGCGGUGAAAUGCGCAGAUAUCGGGAAGAACACCCGUGGCGAAGGCGGUUCUCUGGGACGGUACUGACGCUGAGACGCGAAAGCGUGGGGAGCGAACAGG
rnacentral:rRNA from 1 species